rnacentral:rRNA from 1 species
AUGCAGGGUACAAAAGAGUGGAAUACGGCGCUAAUCAAACAGAUUUUUCACUCCUUCGACGCCGAAGAGAUAUGCAAAAUUAAAAUCCCGGAGUGUGAUGCACAGGACUGUGUGGCGUGGCAUUAUGAAAAGUCAGGAGCUUUCACUGUUAGGAGUGCUUAUAAACUCGCAGAUUCUUUGAAAAGAAAUUCCAAAGCAGCAGCAUCGAGUUCUUCCAAUGAAGUGGGAGACCGAAGCAUAUGGGAUUUGAUCUGGAAAGCAAGCAUCCCUGAGAAAAUAAAGAUUUUCGGAUGGCGGGUCGCUACCAACUCCUUAGCAACAAAACACAAUGUCUUCAGGCGUACUAUUGCUCUUGACAACACAUGUGAGAUCUGUGGAAAUGGGAGGGAGGAUGAGCACCACGCGGUGAUUGCCUGCACAAGGAGCAGGGCACUCAGACAGGCGCUGAGAGAAACAUGGGGUCUGCCGAAGGAAGAGAGCUUUAGUUACACGGGAGAGGACUGGUUACAGCUGCUGCUUGGAUCACAACCUGAGAACACCAGGAACAGAAUCAUGUUGCUACUCUGGCAAGCAUGGCAUCUCAGGAAUAAUGUGGUACAUGGUGAUGGAAGAGAUACUGUCCUGGGAUCAACGCGUUUCCUGCUGAGGUACGAGGAGGAGCUAGAAGAAGCUAUGCAAAUGCAGGGCUCGAGACUGAACAAGGGAACAGGAUGA